CAUCAAGUUUUCCAGACUUACCGAUGGGAAAGAAGAAAUGGGAAUGUGACAAUAAUUGAGAAACUCAGGGGAAAAGCAUCUUUAGAGAAGAAAAUGGACAUCAGACAUUUAUUGAAGAAAGCUGACAGUCAACAUAAUGAUGAGAGCUGUGUUAUACAAUGUUAAGGAGACUCGUUCAUCUUCUGCUUUGUGAAUUCUGCUGUGUCAGUCCUGUGGGACUUGAUGCCGGCUGGUACCAGUGUGACGUC